AAAGAGCGAGCGAGCGAGAGAGAAUUAAAGGGUAAAAUCGGCCGCGGCAAUAGAAGCAGCAAUCACCUGGUCUCCGGGCUUUCCUAGAAACUCCUUGCAUCACCACUUCUAAGAACCCCAGUUCUAAGAAUCAACAGAGCCCAAUUCUCGGAAUUUGAGCUGCGGACUCUACCAUCGCGGCAAGCACGGGGAGGCCCGCGGACCUCCCCCCUCCGCUUCAUCUCCUCCGCCGCUACCCUCCCGGCUCCCGCGGCCCACCCCGCGCCGCCCGUCACGGGCGGAGUAGUGGGGGGCGCGGGAUCCGAGAAGGCGACGGCAGCGGCGAGGGUCCCAUCGAGCCGUUUUCCCUUCGUCGACCCCCUCCCCUCUCCCCUUUCUCAAUGGUCUCGGCCGGGCGGCCGGGUGGUCACGUGGCCGGCGGGUGCUGUGUGUGACGUGGGGGCGCGGCGGGGUGGCGGCGCGCGGCCGCGGUGCCGCCGCGCGCGGUGCGGAGCGGAGCGGAGCAGCGACAACGGCGACGGCGACGGCGACAAGCGAGCAGCGAUCGGGGGGUCCCGGGUGCAACGCCGGACUCUGCAGUGGUGGGUUCAUUCUUUGUAGCUGUUGUUGUUAUUAAUGCUAAAUAACCUGUAAGUCUGUAAAUAACUCUGCUUGUAUGGAAAUGUUGCACUCUGUCGGGGAUGCGAAACCGCGUUGGCUUUUCUGGAAGGGGUUUUAUUUCGGCAGUUUGCCUAUUGCUGGGUAAAGGCCUUUGCUGGGAGAUGGGGGGGGGUGGUGGGGACAUCUCGCAAAGCCUGUGCGGUCCGUGUGUCGGGUGGGUUGUGCAGGGGGGUGCAGAGGAAGGGUCCACCCCAGCCUUCCCCGGGACCUGUAUGGAAAUGUAUUGCCCUGUAUGUAAAUCCCUCGAGAUUAUGCCUGUACCCCUGACUUGUGUAUUUAUUCCGAGCGGGCCUGCUGCGAGGGUUUGUUUGUCUUGCAGGGGGGGGAAGAGAGGGGGGUCGAGAAUGGAUCAUCAAAUUGCAUGUCUCGUUUCUCUCUCCCCAGCGGAUUUUCGGGCUGCGAGGCGUGGUGGCAUGGAGCAGGGAGAUGGCAUGCUCCGGGCUGCGAUGGCAUUCCCGGGCCCUUGCAAUUAAUUGAAAUUUGUUUAUGAGAGUAACCACCGCGGGUCACAGUGCCCUCGGUCCUCUAGUAGAAUUGCUCGGAGCUACUGAUUCAGUCACUGCUGAGCCCCGUGGAGCAGCCACCUUGGAUGCUAAGUCCCCGGGUGCUGCUUUUAUUUUGAUUUCUCGGUUGAGCUCUUGAAGCAAACUGCUUUAAAGCGGAGGUGGGGGGGGUGCAUUAGGAAGAAAGUCCUUCUGCUAAUGCGACUCAUCAUCAAAAACAGCCUGGUGACAAGACAGGGAUGAUACUCCCGAGACACUUGAGAUGGUACAGAUAUGCUGGAGAGGUGGCUUUCCUGUAGUUAAAAUGCAGUAUGUAAUUCCCAGUUAGUGCGGGCAGCUUGGGCUGUGCCACUACAGUCCCGGGCAGGGAGGAGGAGGCUCCCGGGUGUCCGCAAGCAGCCAGCAGACAAAACAGACCCAAUAAUACGAACUCUGCUUUACGGUUUUGAUAUGUAUGGUUUGUUUGUCUUGGGUGUUGUUUGUUUUUUACAGCAAUGUAAUUAAAAUGAAGGGGGUUGUUGAGGGGAGGUAGAUCUUCUCUGUUUGUCGUUUCUCCGCAGCGUGUGACGCUUUCGCUUUAGCCAGAGCCCAGCAGAGCCCAGCGCCUGUGGGACGGGACGCUGGGGAGCAGCAAGAAAGCUGCCGCUGGGGGUUCUUUUUUUUCUGGUGGAGACCUGAGGUCGAGCACGACUUCUGUCUAAGUAGCACUUUUACAGUGGAGAUUUUUCGCUCUUCCUGGCCGCCACCAAGCUGGGCUUGCAUCAGAGUUUCCAUUCUAACCCUUCUCGUUACAAGGACAUAGAGAGCAGCCACCGGCAUCCCCGUCGUGCUGGGAACUAGGCUGCCUGGGCGCCUUUGAAGGUUUUUCGGCCUUUCUGCUCUGGUUUCAUACUUUCUCUUCCCCUGGCUCUGUCACCUGGGACCCAGCUGCAGCUCCCCUGGGGUUUCUGCCACCAGUCCUCACCUCCCACUGCUUCCUUCUGCCUCCCAAAGGCAGCAGCAGUGGUCUCCAUGGUCCUCACCAGAGAUUUCAAGCUGCCAGGGAUGAGGCCAUUUCCCUGGGACCCCUCUUUCCUGUCAGCCAGAGCCAUCAGUGCCAAGUGAGGCCUUGCCACCGUCUUCCCUUGCCUGUCUCAUCUGUGUCCCAGCUCUGGGCACCAGCUUGGCAGUGGCUGGUGGUCGUGGUGGCUGCCAGGAGGACAGGGCAGUGACAUUCCAGCAGGAUGACCUCCCUCGCCUGCUGAAAGCAAGUGGCUUUACUGUGAGGGGGAGGUGGUCCCAUGGUGGAGAGGGUUAUGGAGGAGGAGAGGUGGGUUGGAAGGUACAAGUAGCCCCCAUAUUGAUUGCCAAGAUGCUCUCCACCGGCCUUGUCCUCGGGGAGGCCUGUGCACACCCUUGAGGUGCCUGCGUGGCACGUGGGCUCUGGGCAUGUGGCACGCUAGGCUCUGCUGUGGGAGGUUGCUGUAAUGCAGCUGUGGGGAGCCAGCCACAUGCACCCUCCUCACAGAAAGCACCCCUCGCCCCUGCACAGAGCCCUUCACCCAGGCAGGGAUUUGAACCACAACGUGCUGCCCUGCAAACGGAUGGUGAUGCCGGGGCAGGAGCGAUGCUGAUGGCAAACUGUCCCUUUGGGGUUGUCAGGGGCAUUACCGGGCACGCUGGAGUGCCUCCAAGAAGCAGCAGUGGAGGCUGGAGUGGUGCUGGACAUCGCUACAGGUGCCUUGCAACCCCUGUGGAGUGUCCCACUCCAGCUCCUCCCUUUCCCCCCACUCUGGAAAAGCUCCCUCCACGGAAAGCCACCCCUCUGCCUGUGUGUUGUCCUGCGGGGCACGAAAUGGUGUGAAAUUACUGAGCACUCCAUGAAAGCUGCAGUUCGGUGUUGAAGUUCCUCAGAGCUGAAGCUGCUGCCUGGUAGCAAUGAGAGCCCACCAGGGUUUGGGUCAUCUUUCUGGGACACGGAGCAGGAUUUUAAGCGCUGUCAAAGCCAGCACAUAUUUUUCCCAGGUGAACUACACCUCUGGAAAGAAUUGCCUCAUCUUUUACAGAAUACUGUUUAAAUAAACAGUGCCCCACCAUCAUUUUUGCUUUUGAAAUUAACUCCUUCAGGCCACGAGGUUUACCCAUCCCAGUGCAAAAUAUCUGCCAGGACUUCUAAAGAUUUAAAGAAGUGUCUGGGAGAGAAAAAUUAAUCCUGACAGGUGAGAGCCUGUAAAUCUCUCCCCUUCCCCAUGGCAGUCGAGGAUGGGCUUGUGGGAGCAGCCUGCCCGUUUCAGAACUGGGUGCCACUGCAUCGAUGUUACUUAAAAGGAGUUCUGUGCGUAUUAGUGUGCAUACACUGAGGGCAGGCUGCGUGAUGCAUGGGGACAGCCUAUUCCCUGGCUGAGUAGAACUAUCUUGUUUUCUAAUCUAACCUACUUUUUUUUUUUCUUCUUUUUUUUUUUUUGUUGUUGUUGUCAGAAGUUGGUGCUUUGCAGAAACCUGUUCUCAGUGCAAUCUCAGAGCUUUUUGUGGGUGUCUGAUUUCUGUAACACGUUUUGGUUUCCAGUAUGAAUGUAACGUACAAAGCAUAUCAUGACACUGCUCUAGGUGUAUGUGAUCUUAUCUACCUGACAUUUAGGGGUUUUUAUAACCGUCCAAUUCAUGUGAUUUGCAUAAAACUCACAUGAUUUUACUUUUGUGUUGUUUUUUUUUUUUAAUCAUGCAUCAUCAUCAUAACAAACCACUCAGCUUUACCAGGCUGUUUUCUGCCUGGCUGCAUGAAUGCAGUGUCCAUCUCCCUCCGUCCCGUUCCUCCACGACAAAGGUUGGAGGAUAUUCAAGGUAGUACUCGGAGGGGACCUGCAAUCCCAGCCAGCCACUGAAUCCUUAAUAACCAAAUGUGUACGCUUGAACUUCCAAGAAAACAAAGCAGCUGAGCACACAUCCCAUCCGGUUCUUGUUAAUUUAACUAGACGAGGCUUCUCUUUAUUGAUAAGGAAACUCCUCCGGAACAGCCCCCCGGAUCCCAGAAGGCUCCCCCUGCCGCGGCCGUCCUCAUUACAAAACAAGGCCACAAUUAAAAUAAACUCCAAGAGCUAAACAAA